rnacentral:ncRNA from 2 species
GCAGAAGAUGCUGUGUCAAGUGCGCGCCGUCAGGCGUGAAGAGGGAAUCAGGUGAGAAUCCUGAACGAUCCGGUCACUGUAUUCGGAGAGCCCGCUCUCGAUAUCCCAUUGCAUAACCCUGAUACAUGUGAGAAGGGGAGAGCGAGCGUCAGAUCCGUAAGCCAGGAAACCUGCUUGGCAUAUGAGAUGAGC